rnacentral:rRNA from 1 species
UACGAAGGGGGCUAGCGUUGCUCGGAAUCACUGGGCGUAAAGGGCGCGUAGGCGGACUCUUAAGUCGGGGGUGAAAGCCCAGGGCUCAACCCUGGAAUUGCCUUCGAUACUGCGGGUCUCGAGUCCGGGAGAGGUGAGUGGAAUUCCUAGUGUAGAGGUGAAAUUCGUAGAUAUUAGGAAGAACACCAGUGGCGAAGGCGGCUCACUGGCCCGGUACUGACGCUGAGGCGCGAAAGCGUGGGGAGCAAACAGGG